GAUGAACGCUGACAGAAUGCUUAACACAUGCAAGUCAACUUGAAUUUGGGUUUUUAACUUCGGUUUGGGUGGCGGACGGGUGAGUAACGCGUAAAGAACUUGCCUCACAGCUAGGGACAACAUUUGGAAACGAAUGCUAAUACCUAAUAUUAUGAUAAUAGGGCAUCCUAUAAUUAUGAAAGCUAUAAGCGCUGUGAGAGAGCUUUGCGUCCCAUUAGCUAGUUGGAGAGGUAACGGCUCACCAAGGCGAGGAUGGGUAGCCGGCCUGAGAGGGUGAUCGGCCACAAGGGGACUGAGACACGGCCCUUACUCCUACGGGAGGCAGAAGUGGGGAAUAUUGGACAAUGGACCGAGAGUCUGAUCCAGCAAUUCUGUGUGCACGAUGAAGUUUUUCGGAAUGUAAAGUGCUUUCAGUUGGGAAGAAACAAAUGACGGUACCAACAGAAGAAGAGACGGCUAAAUACGUG
rnacentral:rRNA from 1 species